GAUUAAGAAAGCUACACAGGUUACACAAGGUGCUCUUAAUAUAGUCCUGAAAGGAUUUAAGCAGCAAAAACCUUAUUAAAGCUAAUCUAAUUUGCUGCCAGAGUGCCAGAGGACUGAGCAAUAUAUUUCUACCCUCUGGCCCUCAAAGGGUUAUUUCAAGGCUGUCAUGGCCUCUAUAAUAGCAAAGUAUUCAAAGACAGAAUAUAUGGAACUACACAGACAUUUCAUCCAGAAUGGAUCUCAUCAUUGCUCAACCCCUGGCACUCACGGGGUUAAAGUCGAAUCUCAACGGCCUGUCUGAGAGCAAAAGUGGUUAAUUACAACUGCAUGUAACAGAUAUUUCACCCAAGAUAAAUCUUGCUAUGGAUGGUGUAAAAUAUAUUCCUGUAUCACACCUUAUUAUAGGGAAUAGUUCAUAAUUACAGCACAACAUCUGCUUUUUUUUCGUACUGGCAUCUCUGCUUUUUUUUUUUUCUUUUUCAAAGUGCGAAAAAGAGACUUGUAAACGAAUAACGAAUAAAUAAUUUAAUAUUCAAAUGGCAAACUGCUUUUAGGCAUUCUGUAAAAAAUAAUUAACGAAUUGAUCUCUUAAG